AUCUCCGUAAGAAAAACUGUUUGCUCAAACAGGUGGAAAGGGAUCGGUGGGGGCUCGAUCUCAUUACAGGGAUGCCGGCGACGCGGCGACACAAGUGGUCCACGAUGGGAUCCAGUGUUCGCUGGUCUUCCCAGUGGAUCGAGCUGAGGCGCUCAAGGCGAUCCAGUGGCGCGCGGCCUUCUCAGUGGAUCCAGCCGAGGCGCUCAAGGUGAUCGAGCGGCGCGCUGCCUUCUCAGUGGAUCCAGCCAAGGCGCGCCAGGGAAUCAUCCUAGGGUUUGGAGUUGGUGACCGAGGAGGAGGCGGCACCGGCGAUGGUGCGCAAGCCGUGCACGAGGCCACAGCGACUCCACAAAGUCUGCUUUGCUCUCCCCGACCCUCGGUGGCGUGCUCUCCGAUCUCCACUCCCUCCUUCUCUCCAUGCUCGCCGCAUCGCUGCCCUCCCCAUCACCAUGGCGACGAUGUUCUAAAGACUCGAUGUCAUUGACCCUCAUCAAGGCAUCUAACAUGGAGCGACCUGUUAAUGUCGUCGACACAUAUUUUCUAUUUGAUCAUGCUCCUGGAAGAACUGAUUUGGAGUGCCAUAUCUACAGUUGAUGUCAUCAAUGAUCCAGUAGCUCAUUUAUAGAAAAUCCUCUAUCUAUUAUGCUCAUCUCUCACGAUGAAAUUUUGGCUCAGAUUUCCUGUCAGGUUUGCCCAGGAAAGCGUUGAAAGAAGACAGAUAAUAUCUUUCAAUAUGCACAUAUCCCCAGAAAGCAAUUUGGUAAUAUCGUAUUUGUUUAUUAGAAUAUGUUUGCACAACUCCAUAAAGUUCUGACCAAUAGUUAGAAGUGAUUAUGAUGAACAUGUGUAGCUGACAAAACAGCUACCCUUGAUGAUUAUUUUACCCCAUCAACCAGGUGAAUGCUAUAUGUACCUGAAGUAUUUGUUCGGGAUGUUUUCUCUCUCUUAUGGACACAAAUAUCUAGCUUCUAAGAACUAAUAAAUAUGCACAUUAUGUUGUACAUAAAAAUGAUAAUGUUUUUAUGAUUGAGCACAUGUAGAUAAAGGAAAUAAUUAUUUCAGAUAAAUCAUUUGUCUUUUAUAGUUAUAAUAUUUAUUACUAUAGAAGCAGAAUCCGAUUUUCUUAUCUAGCUGCAGCAGUGAGAUAAAUCUUGUAUGCACUUGCAUAGUUUAGGUUUUCGUUGUAAUUAUACGUACUAUAUUGUGAUUGUGGUCUUCAUUUUUAUGACUUCUGCUCUUUGUGUCAAUAUACACUUUCCCGGAAUAAAUAUCAAUUAUUUAGUUUUCAUUUUUUUAUCAAGUGAAGCAGCAACACAUCUAUGUUUUUAUCAUCUGGGAUGUUUGGAACUUUAUUAUCAUUGACUGAUUGCGUACCUUUGUUUUCAAACACUGGCUGGGCUCAAGAAUCCUACUUGGCUUAUUUAGAGAAGCAUAUGUAAGCUAUAUUUGAUAAAUGCUCUCAGCCUUAGGUUGCUAACAUUGGAAAGGUGGACAUAUAAUCUGGUCACUUCUUGACUCCGAGGUGGGUUCAGGACAUGGACUCUGCACCCCCUAUCAUAUUCUUAAUCUUUACAAUGAUCUCAUCACUGAUUCAGAUUGCUGCUAGCAAAAAAAAAAUCUAACUAUGUUGUGGUUUGCCAAUAGAGUUAGGCUGUUUGAGAAGAUUGUAAGCUUAUGGAACUGUCUGCCUCUUACAUGCUGCAUGCCAACUUAAUUUUAAACAAAUUAGAUGGUCUCAUAAUUGAUGAUGAAUACUGGAUUCUUGUGGCUCCAUGCUGAUUUUUCUUGAUACUUUUGGGUAGAAUCAAAUAAAUAAAAUAUUCUGACUCCUCCAGUUUAUAUGGUUAUGGUCUGGCUUGAUAGUUCGAUGGUGUACGUGUCUGCUAUAUUCAUUGUUAUACAGUAAUGAUGUACUAAAUCUAUUUCUGCUCCUAAAUUAGAAAAUUUCGGGAGUACUAACAUGAAGUACUAAUACAUUUCAAAAUUACUGACAGUAUAUUUCAUAUCUAAUUCACCAAAUGUUAUCAUAUCAUGUAUUUACUGUUUGGGUUAGUAUCACAAUGAAAAUACUCAUGAUUGUUCUGUCAUAUAGAUUCUUAAAUGGUCUAUAUGGAUUCACUUUCAAAUCACUAACUAUAUUAUUGAGUUCUCAGUCUCGCUUCAGUUGCCGGAUGAUCUUUGGACAUGACAAAAACUGCAUGAGUUUUUCAGCCCAAUUUUCACCCACUUGCUAGAUGUCUAUUGAAUCAGAGAAAUAUGAAAAAUAAGUAACUUGGAUGCUUUUGUCUGGACCUGCUUUACAAUUGAAUGAUUAUUUUGAUAAUUUGUUGUAGCAUGAUGUACGCGUUCUAACUGAAAUAUGGUGACUGAACUGAAGCAAGUUAACUAACUAUAUAUUUAUUUAUCUAGAGGCAAUUGCAUAUUUUGUGUUGUACAAAUUGACAAGCUGCAGGAGUUAGCUGAGGGAAGCUGCAUCUAUUUCUCCCUAAAGAGAAAAACACAUCUAUACUUUGCCAUGGUGCACCACAGUAGCUUAUCCAAGGGCUCUAUGGGCAUCUCCAAUGCUGGGCGCUUGGAGAGGCGCCAGGGAUUUUUUCCUGAUGAUAUCCUGGUCGAUGGGCAGUUGGAGCGGUCAAAUCCUAGCAUCGGACACCAGCGAGCGCAAAAGGUUGCGUUGGACGCUUCCUUCCUUUUCCCCUCGCAUGCGCCGCAUAGUUAGUUUAAUUAGCGUACAAUUAGCGUCCAUGGUUAGCAUCUAGCGUUGGAAGGUCAGGCUCUUAGAUUUUUCUAAUUAAAUACUAUUAAUUUGUUUCCUUCGUAAGCGCCAGGUCAGGCACCUGGCAUUGUAGAUGUCGUAAGAUAGCGUAUGCCUCAGCUUUGCCUCACAUGAAGUCCAUCACAACCGAACACGGUUCUGCUUGUUUCUAGAACUUACAACUACUAAAACUUAUCAUAUCCGCUCCAUUAUUUGGCAACCUAGGCCGAGAAAGCCAUGAUGUUUCCUUUGUGUAUUCUAAAUGGGCUGCUGUGUUGGAUGGAAUAACACAACCUCCUUUUAUUUGCAUGCAAAAGAAACAGAGAGCUUGUUAAGACUUUACGAUUUGUAUUUAACCCAGGACACACUAUGAGCAUAUGACCAUUUUAACAAUAAGUAGUUUCUGUUAAAUAUACUCCUUUAUGAAAUGCUGUUAUGACGUUGGGGGUAAAUUCUUAUGAUGUAACUGUACAUUGUUAGAACACAUGUAUAUCUUGUGCCGAUUGUGAUUA